GAUGAACGCUGGCGGCGUGCUUAACACAUGCAAGUCGAACGGGGAUUACACGGAGAUGCGAUUUCGGUCAAAUCAAGUGCAAUCUUAGUGGCGGACGGGUGAGUAACACGUAUGCAACCUGCCCCUGUCAGGGGGACAACCCGCCGAAAGGCGGGCUAAACCCGCGUACAUGCCACCGGGGCAUCCCGGAGGCAGGAAAGGCUUCGGCCGGACAGGGAUGGGCAUGCGGCGCAUUAGGCAGUAGGCGGGGUAACGGCCCACCUAACCGACGAUGCGUAGGGGUUCUGAGAGGAAGGUCCCCCACACUGGUACUGAGACACGGACCAGACUCCUACGGGAGGCAGCAGUGAGGAAUAUUGGUCAAUGGUCGGGAGACUGAACCAGCCAAGCCGCGUGAGGGAGGAAGGUACAGAGUAUCGUAAACCUCUUUUGUCAGGGAACAAAGACUGGGACGCGUCCCCGGAUGAGUGUACCUGAAGAAAAAGCAUCGGCUAACUCCGUGCCAGCAGCCGCGGUAAUACGGAGGAUGCGAGCGUUAUCCGGAUUUAUUGGGUUUAAAGGGUGCGCAGGCGGUCUGUUAAGUCAGCGGUCAAAGCCCGGGGCUCAACCCCGGCCCGCCGUUGAAACUGGCAGUCUCGAGUUGGAGAGAAGUAUGCGGAAUGCGCGGUGUUGCGGUGAAAUGCAUAGAUAUCGCGCAGAACUCCGAUUGCGAAGGCAGCAUGCCGGCUCCACACUGACGCUGAGGCACGAAAGCGUGGGUAUCGAACAGGAUUAGAUACCCUGGUAGUCCACGCAGUAAACUAUGAAUGCUGGCUGUCCGGGGGGACUGACCCCUGGGUGGCGAAGCGAAAGCGAUAAGCAUUCCACCUGGGGAGUACGCCGGCAACGGUGAAACUCAAAGGAAUUGACGGGGGCCCGCACAAGCGGAGGAACAUGUGGUUUAAUUCGAUGAUACGCGAGGAACCUUACCCGGGCUCAAACGGGGAGUGCCGCAGGCAGAGACGCCUGUUUCCCACGGGACACUCCCCGAGGUGCUGCAUGGUUGUCGUCAGCUCGUGCCGUGAGGUGUCGGCUUAAGUGCCAUAACGAGCGCAACCCCCGCGUGCAGUUGCUAACAGAUAACGCUGAGGACUCUGCACGGACUGCCGGCGCAAGCCGCGAGGAAGGCGGGGAUGACGUCAAAUCAGCACGGCCCUUACGUCCGGGGCGACACACGUGUUACAAUGGGUGGUACAGCGGGAAGCCAGGCGGCGACGCCGAGCGGAACCCGAAAUCCACUCUCAGUUCGGAUCGGAGUCUGCAACCCGACUCCGUGAAGCUGGAUUCGCUAGUAAUCGCGCAUCAGCCAUGGCGCGGUGAAUACGUUCCCGGGCCUUGUACACACCGCCCGUCAAGCCAUGGGAGCCGAGGGCGCUUGAAGUGCGUCGCCGCGAGGCGCGCCCUAGAGCGAAAUCGGUGACUGGGGCU
rnacentral:rRNA from 1 species